CAGCCGCCGCGGGAAAACGAAGGGUGCAAGCGUUACUCGGAAUUACUGGGCGUAAAGCGUGCGUAGGUGGUGGUUUAAGUCCGUUGUGAAAGCCCUGGGCUCAACCUGGGAAUUGCAGUGGAUACUGGGUCACUAGAGUGUGGUAGAGGAUAGUGGAAUUUCCGGUGUAGCAGUGAAAUGCGUUGAGAUCGGAAAGAACACCAACGGCGAAAGCACUCUGCUGGGCCGACACUGACACUGAGAGACGAAAGCUAGGGGAGCAAAUGGGAUUAGAUACCCCCGUAGUCCCUGUCUCUUAUAC
rnacentral:rRNA from 1 species